CCCCUGGGAGAAAGGCUGAGAUCAUUGAUUUUUUUUUUUUCCCAAGCAAAAUCCCCUCUUAGAAAUGUCCCAGCGGUAGGAGGGUCUAGGCUCAGACCCGUAAGUAAACAAUUUUCACUGUGGGUGCUGAGAGAAGGAGCUGGGAAUUUUCCCUGUGAAUGCCAUCCUUCCCUUCCCACUCAAAAAGCGCUCAGGAUGCACAGGACACCUGCAUGCCACAGACCCGCUCCGUAAGUCAAAACCGAAACAAAUUUUGGCCAGAUCCUCAUCUUACCUGCAGAACCAAAAACUGCCCACAGAACAAAGCAAGGGCUGCAAGACGUAGACACAGUCCGACAGCGAGGACAAGACAGAACUCUCCCAAAAGACCAGGAUUCUCUCCUUGCCCUUGCCGCAGGCUUUGCAACGCUAACAAAGUCAUUAAACCAAACUUUUGGGUGCUGACAGUUGUAUUGCCCACAUUGCAGGUGUGUGGCUUGAAACCUUUAGCCCGAAUUGCUGACAUCCAUCUUAGUACAGCUGGAAGCAGCGGGUGCUGUGCUUGCAUGUAUGAAGUGCUGUAUCACGUUAAAUGCUCUGAAAAAGCAGACAUUACGCUUCUCGGAUGGAGUACCCUGAAUUAGUCAAAACUGACCUUAAUCCAUCCAUGUGUCACCCUGGCCCAUCUUCACAACGGGUGUUUGAGGAGGAUUAAUGAAGGUGCUGAAGCACUGAUGCAGCGUAGUGGAAAGUACCGUAGAAAAAGCCAUGAGGAAAUUAAUUCUGUCGUCAGAGGAACCCGCCGACAUCCCUGCUCCGGUCCUGUACAGCACGCUACAGCCUUACGACCCUUCUGGCCAUUCCUCCAGGAUUUCUGGACAGCACCUCUAAAGGAGGUCACAGCAUGUCAAAAUCCAGGUACGCAGAUCAGUUCCUCGGUGCAGAUGGGUUGCGCACAGCGGGUCCGAAGCAUCCCUAGACUCAACCCGAGUGCAUUUUUACUAUCCAGAAGAUAGUUCUGCUUUGAAAACUGCACACAGGAAUAUUGCAGCCGUAUUUUCUAUUGCUGCAAAAUCCAAAAGUGGUCAGAUAUGUGAAUAAUGUGCUGAGCUAAGGCCUAGGAUAUGUGCUGAACAAUAGGAACAAGCCAGCGUUGCCGAGCCCCUCGCUGACCAUCUCAUGCACUGCACGCCGUAGCGAUGCAGAAGAAAAAUAGCGUCUGAACAUGCAAUUAAAAUCUUGGUCUGCUUCAACAAAAGGGCGUAGAUUAAGUUGCACUGGCAACAAGAAUUUGGACAUUUCUGCAUUUUGAGUACUUUCCUGGGCAGUAGCGAUCGCAUGCUUAACAGAUUUUUGGCUACCAUAUAUGCACACUUAAACAAAACUUGCAUACAAAUGCCUAUGCAACACAUACAUAUAAAAUACACAGAGAUAACACCUGAUGGAUGGUUCUACAGAAAGGUCAUGUAUAUGAUAUAUAUGAUACUCAGUUUACAUAGUAUGACAUUUAUGUAACACUUACGAAGAGCUCUGACAGGGUGUUGUCAGCUGGCAUUUGCUAAGAGAAGAAAUAAAUCUAAUAAUAAAAACAAAAAAACAUUUUGGAAGAAAUACUGCACAAAUCCUCUAAAAGGACAGAAUCGUCUACACAACAAAGGCUCGGCUGACUGAUGCUAAAAUAAGCAGUUAUGCAACAAGUAAGAAAUACAAUCUCCAGGGAAGAAGCCAGCAACAUUUUCCUUUCCUCUUCAUGCACCGGUGCUUAUUUUUGCAUACCUACAAGAAAAAUAUAGGCAACAUUUCGACGACGAGCACAUAAGUAGAAUUAACAGAUGUUUUUAAGCGAAGGACGGAGUCUUUCUGAGCUUUAUGCAAGUUCUGCAGAGUUAGAUCCCGUCACUAAACGCGAGUCCCCCAAAGUGCCACAGAGCUGCUGCUACCGCUGCCCGUGCCUCAGGGCCGCUACCACGCUUUAGGGGAGCGUGGUGCUGUCAUGACUAGGUGUGAACACGUUGAUUUUAGCGGUGAAUUGGCUCAGCGUAGAGCUACAAUUACAAAACUGUUAAAACACCUUCAGGAGAAGCAGCACGCAAAAUAGUUUGUCUCCCAACACUUCGGUUGAACAAAACUUCUCGACAGGACUUGAGACCAGUGGAAAAAUCUCGGUGCAGACAGAUCUCACGGGAGAGGAAGAAGAAAACCCAGUGGCCUUGUUGGCAAAUUUGAUUACUGUAGUACGUUAGCACCAGACACGCGGAUAGAACAGGUCCAAGGGAGUGCGAGUGUUCCCCAAAUAUAAUGAAAAUUCAAUGUCAUUUUGAAGACCCUCAGAAACAAUCCAUUUAGUAACGUUAGCUAGUGAGAAACCACGAGGAAAGCUCAGUCCCUCAGCCUGUUCCAGCAGUGAUACCCGCCCGGCCCUGAAGCCGGGUGCUGGAGGACCACCACAGGGCCAGGAGAUGCUCUCAUGACAGAGAGCCCGUGGAGAUCCUCACAAGCACCACACAACUUGAAAACAGCGCAGGAGACACGUGGCUGCUCAUUUACUGCCUUAGAGACCCUCUUCUGAGGCCUUUGGUAACCAGAAGUCAUCAAAAUAGCCUCAUGGCUACUUUAAUUUCUACCAAGGACCAGAGCCGUACACAGCCAUUCCAGGAGGAGAACACAAAGAUGAUGAAAAUCUUGCUGCACCCGUAUCCCAGAUAGGGUUGUCCAAUAUCCCAGCUAUAACCAGGAUAUUUAGGUUUUAUUAAAAUAUGUGUUAAUUUGGAAAGUAGUAAGCAGAUGCAGUAGAAGGAAAAAGAACAAGCUCUGUUCUAAAUUACAAUAAUCACUCCCAUCUUCGAGAACAAACUACUACAGAAAGAUCAAGGGAGAGAUGGCUGCUAUCGUCAUCAUAUAAACUAAUCCCUUUUCUUUCUCAUUCAUUCUGCAUAAUUCUUUUCCUCUCUGAAGCUAAGGAAAAAAUACUAUACUUACAGGAGAAGAAAAUUUGAUUUGGCAGAUCAGUGGAUAGUGAGAUUUUGUUUGCAGUCUCAAUUACCUUCAGCAGCUAGAAAUUUGGUAUCAAAAUAAACUGUAAACAAAAAAAAUAGACAUAGCAUUACAAAUGUCCAUCCCUUGACGGAUAGCUCAAAAAUUCUCUAUGUUCUAGCAACAGCUGCUUUAAUAUCUUUCAAAGAAAUGGCAGCCUGCCUCUGUCUGAAGGGAUUAACUUUAAGGAAUGCAUCCGUAAGUGGUUUUGUGCAAAGAUGCUCACGUUCUUGUGGGCUUUCUGCACCAAAUUUUUUCUGCCAAAUUUCAAGAUUCCUUUUGUUGUUGUUGUUAGUUUCUCUGUUUUCUGUAAGUUCAUUUCUAUUACAAAGCACAUCUAACACGACACAUUUCAUCCAGUCCCCAGACUGCAAGAACUGGGGCUUUCAAAGGGCCCUCAAGGGUAGAUUUGGGGAAAUAAGGACCAUCAGUGGUCAGAUGAACAGGUUCAGUGCUGCUCCUGUGACAGGAGACCUGCUGUAGCUCCUCACGCUUUGGACGGAUCCUUGGGCAUCACAGCAGACUCCCCUGCAACACACUUCCCCACUCUCAUUCCUGUGCUCCCAUUUUGUUGGCAUUUCAAACUUUUCCACGUUCGAUGCGGUGACGGGAUAACACGGCUCCUCAGACCACGCAGAGUUUCAGCGUGAAGGUCUUUGACUGCUAUGGGCAAAGUCUGUAGUUCUGGGUGAUGGACGGUGAAAAUAGUAGUAGAUUUAGACGAUUUAGAAUAGUUCAGUUGGAAGGGACCUACAAGGAUCAUCUAGUCCAACUGCCUAAGUACCUCUUCUCUCCCUCGUGAAGGGCCAUCCCAAAGGCAGGACAUGUCAUUGCAAGCCCUUGUCCUGCCCAUUCCCACCCCGCAACCCGGGGAAGGAUCCGCCUAGGUGUAAAAGCAGUCAUGUUUUACUCCCCUGAGGUGGCCAAGCAGAGCUUUCCUCCUCCUCCUCCUCCAGCUGCCCUGGCUCGGGAGGGAGGUUAACAGCCAGGUGCCAGCGGGUGUCUUCCUACCUGCAGAUCCCACCACAGAACAUGCAAUUACCCUCCCAAUUAAAAAAAAAAGAGACAUUAAGGAUCCAAGUCACAAUUCAAUGCGCCAUUUGAGUGAACGGUACAUAUGCUAAACAAUACAUGCAUCAAGACUGCAUUAAUCCACAUUUUAUAUGGAUUCCCUCUAGACAUUCAGUUUAUAACCGAAUUGGCUAUUUCCCUGUAUUUCUUUGGAGUUGGAGGGUGUGAAAAAGACAUUUCCAUUUCAUUGACUAAGUUCCCAAGGGGAGAGUUUAUGAAAGUGCAAGUGCAUAAUUUACUGCCUGACAGGAUAAAGAUGGUAUCUGAUUUUAAAAAAAUAGUGUACCCUGAAAAACAAAAUUGCUAGAACAGACAUUUGUUUUCCGUAAGUACCGUAUUUUAGAAGCAUUUAAUUUAGCUUAGAAGCACUGUUAAAAAUACAUGCAUUGUAAAUUGCAGCUGUAUAACAUGAUAUUUAUCAGAUAAUGUCACUGAAUAGUCUCCUGUUGCAAUAUAAAUGCCAAGGCAUUUAUAGAAAAUAAAUGUUGAAGUAGAGAGCUUUCUUUUCAAAGUGGAAAACCAUUAUCUCAUCCGAAAGUCAUAAAUAAAAUGAGGGUUUGCUUACAGGGUUGGUUUUAACCAUAGGGGGGCUGACACGGACACGCCAUCGCCUGAGCAAUAUUCCCAAGCAGCAAACUCGGCCUGGAUGCAACGAGGAGCGAGGGAGGCACGUGGGACUGGUGACAACGGUUCAGAAAGACCUAAGAGUAGCCAGCAGGACAAAUCAGCUGCUAAUGCGUUUGAGGAAAAGAGAUAAAGAUGGGAAGUGAGGGAUUUCUUGAGGUACUUCACACAAUAUUUAUUUCAAGAAAAUUCAUCAGGUCCGAUUAUAGCCAGGACCCAAUACAAUAUGCUCGAAUACCAGCUUUUAAAAAAGGGUUCCUGAAAGCUGGCUCUUAAAGCCACAUUUAGUCACAUAAGUGCAUGAUCUGAUUUUCAGAGGACGGAGCACCUGGCAGUUCCUAUUGAUUUCUUCAGAAUCUGGAUCAAGUUGUGCAUGUGCAGCACUAUUUAUUAGCAUAAGGUACAAAGGGCUGUGAGAGAGGGACAGCAAAUAAGAUUUUGGAUCCAAGAUCUCCACCUUCUGCUCCUCUGAAAUUUGAGGACGUUGAUUUAGUCUUUUCAUCUCCUGUUAGAACGGGACUAAAAUGAGGCUCAUGCUGCCAUUCACGCAGAUCCACAGAGCGCUUUGCUGAGCAAGCUGCUUGCCACGUAGGCAGCCGGGUCCCAUCCCAUGUGCUUUUUGCACCGCAGGUCCGUUUGCUGGCAUUGCCAAGACUGGAAAACACCGCUCCCACACAACCGGGACCCGCCACGUGAGCUGCUUCUCCGUUGCCGCUGAAGUGCGAUUGCUGGAGGUGCGAUGCUCAGCACGGCAUGCAGGGGAGGAGUGGAGGAGGACCCGCUGCACCAAACGCCUGUGGAAUAAUCCUGCUAAUUUCAUUUCAGUUAUUCUGGUUUGACAUAGCCAGAUAAUCCACAUUUUAUGGGAGUAAUUUUCAAAUCAUUUUUAGGCUAUGUAGUUAGGAGCAAAGUCUGCCUGUAAAUUCAAGAAAGCUGCAGCCAUAAUGUUUAUUUCGUUGUGUCUAUAAAGCCAGAAUGGCCACCCCACAGUCCAUGGGCAUGCAGUCAUCCAUGCCAGGGUGGGAAAAUAAGGGCAUUUGAAUUUUGGUCACAAAUCAGACACUUUUCUGGUCAACUGUGGAAGCCAGAGUGGGUUCACCACCCUCAAAUGCCUCCAAGAGCGGCCCUAGCUGAAAGCUCGGGCACUGUUCUUCUAAAGGAAGGAAUGAGAUUCCUGCAGCCCUCUCCUGGCUUCAUGAAUUCCUCCUUGCCUGGUUCUGCUCCUCUUUUAGCCACUUCUUGGAUAGCUCGUGUGGCGUAUUGUCUGCUUCUUCCUCCCUCUGUUUUCUCCCUCUGCUACCCACUGCAUUUUUCUUUGGACAAUCCAGUCCACUGAUCCUCUUCAGCAAUCAUAUUCAUACCAAAUCGCCGGUUAUCUGCCCUUCCACGCUCGCUCAUCUCUCUCCAUUGCAGAGCAUGCUUCAGUCUGCCCCAUAACAUCCCACCCUGGGCAGCACAGUCAAAACUGAGACUGGAUGUGCUGAGCCGAGCCAAAUCCCUCGUUUUUCUCACCCAACUUCCUCCAUCCGCUCUCCCGGUCAGAGGAGCAACGCACAUCUGGCACGGCUCAACUGGUAUGUUGUCAGAAGCACCUUAUAUGAUGAAUGAUAUGAUGAAUGCCAGAAAUGUGUCUAAAAUAACUUACGUACAAGAAGUGGCUGGAUGGAUGAAUGGACGGGACAGCUGAUUCACUGGCUCAUCAGCCAUGGAGGGAAAGUACAACACACCAGCAGGACAACCUUCUGGGCCACAUUCAGAAGAAAAUACUUUCAGUACUGGUAGCUCCUUGCAGAGGGGAUCCCACACUGAGCAUCGCUCUCCCGCGAGCACGGAGGACCUCGAGGUUGUACACCAUAUUUGUAAAAUAACACAGCAACGAGAGAGGCUCCAUCAUCUUGUAGGAUAGGAUUACAGCCCCUCCGCAGAGGACAUAGCAGCUAUUUAUUUGAACUGACAUUAACCCUUUUACAAUAGGCCACUCUUGAUGAGUACUGCCGGGUUGCUGAGCAGCCCCACAUUCAUCCGAGCCGUUUUCUGGUGAGCUCCACGGAUGAUAGACAACCAUCGAAGCAACAACUCCUGCAUGCCAGGACUUUAACACAUUGUAUAUGCAACGCAUACCCCUUUUAUAGUGGUUAUAGUCUUCAAAUCAAUCAUACCUGGCAGCGGAAGUUUAACAUUAAUGACUUUCUUAUUAUGGAUGGAAAAACCUCUCAGAGCUAAUGAGCAGAAACAAGACCGCUUGGCUCCUACCUGAGGAGGUGACUCCACGGUCAUGACCAACACUUGGA